rnacentral:rRNA from 1 species
AUUGAACGCUGGCGGCAGGCCUAACACAUGCAAGUCGAGCGGAUGAAGGGAGCUUGCUCCUGUAUUCAGCUGCGGACGGGUGAGUAAUUCCUACGAAUCUGCCUGGUCUUUAGGGAUAACGUCCGGUAACGGGCCCUAAUACCGCAUACGUCCUGAGGGAGAAACUGAGGGAUCUUCGGACCUCACCCUAUCAGCUGACCCUUAGUCGGAUUAGCUAGUUGGUUUGGUAAAGGCCUACCAAGGCGACGAUCCGUAACUGAUCUGAGAGGCUGAUCAGUCACACUGGAACUGAGACACGGUCCAGACUCCUACGGGAGGCAGCAGUAGGGAAUAUUGGGCAAUGGGCGAAAGCCUGAUGCAGCAAUGCCGCGUGUGUGAAGAAGGUCUUCGGAUUGUAAAGCACUGUUAGUUGGGAGGAAGAGAAGUAAGUGAAUACCUUGAUGUUUUGACGUUACCAACAGAAAAAGCAACGGCUAACUUCGUG